UCUAACAAACCGUUCAAUCGGCUCAGAAGGAAGUGAGGAGAUUCGACGCUGCACACUGGCGAGUAGCUGCCGUUCCGCCGUCUCGCCGCACCGCCCGCACCCGCAGUCCUCCCGCCGCGCCGGUUCUGCGCGCUCCACGUUAACCGCAUCAUGGUAAUGGACAACCGAACAAAUGAAGAAAAUAAAAACGAACAAGACUCGGCUAUAUUUGUUACAAACUUUCAAAAUGGAGAGACAGUAAACUAUUCUCUUGUUUUAAUUAAGGGGUUGAUAACCACAGGAGCUUGUAAUAACAAUGAAAGAAUUAAAUGUACCGUUUCCAAUAACGGAAAUGAGUGUGAUUCGCUUUGGGAGGUUUACAAUAGAGAAUUUAAAGUAAUAAUCGAACUAAAGCGUGGUGAAAAUGUUAUUAAUUUGAAAUAUGUUGAACAAAGAAAAACAUUAUUUUUAGGAUAUGAACCCAGGAGAACUAAUCUUAAAGUAACGCCAGUGUAUAUAAUCUGUCAAGGUCAUGAUGGAUGUUUUCAAAGUCCUUCUGAAAUCGACAAUUCUAUAGAAAGCGCGUGCUCCCGUAUAUCCAUAGGAGCUAAAUUAAUCCAGUCUAUUACAGCUGAGAAACUUUACGAAAGUGGGUAUGGAAGAAAAACAUUUCAACUUGAACAUGAAGUUAAUCCAAGAAAACCAGAAUGCAUUGUAUUUAGAAGUAAUCUAAAUGUAAACAAAGCAAGAAAAAUGAGACAGGGAGAACUGUGGUCACAAUUUGGAAGAGAAUUAAUGCUUUCCGAUUUAGGAAGUAAUGAAAGAAAGUUUCUUGGGUUUAUCUCGUGCACUAGAUAUAAAGGUACAGACAUAGAUAAACAAAUGACACACGACGAAAUAGUUUCUUUGACUGAAGCAUAUGCAGCUUUAGGCGGUGGUGGUUUAGCAUUGUUCGGCACCGCUUGUUUGUAUACUUGGCCUACAUCUGUGGAAGAAAUAGUCCCAAGACUUGUAGACGCUUCUCCUGUUAAUUCACGGCGUUUCAUGGAUGAUAGUGGCUACAGAGGAACAUUAGGAGGAUGCUAUGCAACAACUUUAGGUUCUGUAUUGCAUGAACUUGGACACACAUUUGAUCUUGGCCAUACAAAAGAUGGUAUUAUGGGUCGAGGCUUCGAUAAUAUUGAUCGCGUGUUUCUUGUUGGGGAGAGAAAAUCAACUCUACUCAAAGAUAAUAUGAAUAACUAUAAUGGUAAGCCAGUUCAACAUUCUACAGUUUCUCUUCAACGUAAUAUCAGUGUAACGAUGAACGUGGCUGAACCAUUAAGAGUCUUAGGCCCACGAAGUAAAACUACAUUAGGUAAUUUUGCUUCAAUGUCAAAAUCAGAUAUUGUAAGGCGAAGUCCAAACGUUACUCCAAUAACAAGGCCAUCAAGUGUUUAUUCGACUAUUACAAACAGACUUUCCGAAUCUAAAAAAAAUCUUAACCGGACCAAUGGGAAUGAUUCAACAUUUUGGACAAGAAAUUGUGCAGUUCUUUUGUCUUACCAUCGUUGGUUCAAUAAUGAAUAUGGAAGAGAGAGACAAGCUAUAACAAGAUAUUUAAAAUUUGAUAAAAAUAAAAUGAUGAUAAUAUCAACAGCUGGAAUACGCAUAGUUGAAGUAAGGGAUGAUUCAAACGGUAUGGUUUUAGAUUCAUAUGAAUUCACAAAUCUAUUACCAGAAAAGCGAUUUUUAGUACCGUUUACCUUUUCACCAAAAACUAAAGUACUAACUAUUGUGGUUGAAGACGACCUAGGAAAUGUAUUAAAACAAACAUUCUCCUAUUGAAACUUUACAGUGAAAUAUACUAAGACAUUAACUUACUGAAAGACAUUUAGUGUCGUCGAUUUUAAAGUGUUUAUUUUUUUUUUCUUAAAUUAUUCUUCUAUUAAAAAUAAAUGUGCUAAAGUGAUUCAAAACAAAACUUGGUGUUUUUAAAACUAAUUACAUGCUGUAAUAGUUAAAAGACUGAUUCAACCACAUGUCUGGUAGAAUAUUUGUGAUGGACUUUACUAACAAUUAUUUAAAAACGGAUAUUUCUGCAAACAUCAUUAUAAAAGAUUACUACAUAUUUUCUGCAUUGCCUAUCGAAUGAUAAGAAUACACUCAUGAUUGAUGAUAAGAAUCGAUAAUUUAGCUUCAUGUUAUCUUAUAAUUCAUAUAUUACUGACUUUUGUGUAAGAAGUGUUGAGACAAAAUGGAUAGUACUUCUACAGCUACUAAAAAUUCUAACUCUCAAGACUUGAUACCAUUUUCCUACGUUAAUGGAAAAAUAAAUGUUAUAGAAUUUCU